rnacentral:rRNA from 1 species
AUUGAACGCUGGCGGCAGGCCUAACACAUGCAAGUCGGACGGUAGCACAGAGGAGCUUGCUCCUCGGGUGACGAGUGGCGGACGGGUGAGUAAUGUCUGGGGAUCUGCCCGAUAGAGGGGGAUAACCACUGGAAACGGUGGCUAAUACCGCAUGACGUCGCAAGACCAAAGAGGGGGACCUUCGGGCCUCUCACUAUCGGAUGAACCCAGAUGGGAUUAGCUAGUAGGCGGGGUAACGGCCCACCUAGGCGACGAUCCCUAGCUGGUCUGAGAGGAUGACCAGCCACACUGGAACUGAGACACGGUCCAGACUCCUACGGGAGACAGCAGUGGGGAAUAUUGCACAAUGGGCGCAAGCCUGAUGCAGCCAUGCCGCGUGUAUGGAGAGGGCCUUCGGGUUGUAAAGUACUUUCAGCGGGGAGGAAGGCGAUGUGGUUAAUAACCGCGUCGAUUGACGUUACCCGCAGAAGAAGCACCGGCUAACUCCGUGCCAGCCGCCGCCGUAA